rnacentral:rRNA from 1 species
GAUGAACGCUGGCGGCGUGCCUAAUACAUGCAAGUCGAGCGAAUGGAUUAAGAGCUUGCUCUUAUGAAGUUAGCGGCGGACGGGUGAGUAACACGUGGGUAACCUGCCCAUAAGACUGGGAUAACUCCGGGAAACCGGGGCUAAUACCGGAUAACAUUUUGAACCGCAUGGUUCGAAAUUGAAAGGCGGCUUCGGCUGUCACUUAUGGAUGGACCCGCGUCGCAUUAGCUAGUUGGUGAGGUAACGGCGCACCAAGGCAACGAUGCGUAGCCGACCUGAAAGGGUGAUCGGCCACACUGGAACUGGGACACGGCCCAGACUCCUACGGGAGGCAGCAGUAGGGAAUCUUCCGCAAUGGACGAAAGUCUGACGGAGCAACGCCGCGUGAGUGAUGAAGGCUUUCGGGUCGUAAAACUCUGUUGUUAGGGAAGAACAAGUGCUAGUUGAAUAAGCUGACACCUUGACGGUACCUAACCAGAAAGCCACGGCUAACUACGUGCCAGCAGCCGCCGUAA